GCGCAAGCCGCUCCUCCUGCGCAGCCGCCACCACUGCCCGCGGGGCCCGCGUCCCAACGCGCCCACAUCAUGCCCCCAGCGGGUGACGGCGCGCCGCCGCGCGUUCGCCUAGGCCGCCGGUCACAGCCUGACCACGCUCGCGUAGGCCCACGCGCGCACAGCGCGAGUGCAGCAACCGCCGCACGCCUAGCUGCCCCGCGCGGCACUCGCCCACGACGUUGAGAAAACCGACGUCCGCGCCCACGCUCUCCUAUCCGAGCGUCUACACAUCCUCUCCUCUUCCUCCUUCAUUUCCCCAAUCGCCAGCACUCGAUGCCUCCAUAAUCGUCGCCCAGUCCUCACAUCGCCAUCCUUGACACGCGUUCGGAGAUCGACGUCGAAACCGCCGCACCGGAGUCCAUCCUCGCCGUGUUCGCCUGCACCAGAGCCGCUCGCCACCUACCUCUUCCAUGCCCUAUUGAGCCGCGCGCCCGUGCCAUCUCCGUUGAGAUCCAAGAUCGCGAUUCGUUUCCGAGCUUUGAGGAAUCGACGAUCAAGCGUUGGCGACCAAGUGAUCAAGUUCUUCGAGUUCUACGAGAUUAAAUACCCUGAGCAUCUGUUUUGGUGAAGGCAAAUGUCCUCUGACCCAUUAUGUCCUAUCUACUUAUAAUUCAUUUUCCCGCGUUACUUAAUGGAAACCUAAGGAUUGACUAACUUUGUGUUUACCUUGUCCUUAUUA